CCUACCCGCUAUUGGAGUUCGAUUAAGCCAUGCGAGUCGAGAGUCCUCGGGACUCGGCGUACCGCUCAGUAACACGUGGGUAACCUGCCCUAUGCUGGGGAAUAACCUCGGGAAACUGAGAACAAUGCCCCAUAGCCCACUACGCCUGGAACGGUGAGUGGGUCAAAGCUCCGGCGGCAUAGGAUGGGCCUGCGCCGUAUCAGGUUGUAGGGGGUGUAAAGUACCCUCUAGCCAUCAACGCGUACGGGUGUUGGGAGACAUUGCCCGGAGAUGGAUUCUGAGACACGAAUCCAGACCCUACGGGGUGCAGCAGGCGCGAAAACUUGGCAAUGCGAGAAAUCGUGACCAGGGAACUCCAAGUGCGUAGGGUAAGACCUACGCUUUUCUUGACUCUUCAAAGGUCUUGGAAUAAGGGGUGGGUAAGGACGGUGCCAGCCGCCGCGGUAAUACCGGCGCCUCAAGUGGUAGUCGCUUUUUAUUGGGCCUAAAACGUCCGUAGCCGGUCUGGUGCAUUCGUGGGUAAAUCAACCCGCUCAACGGGUUGAAUUCUGCGAGCACGGCCAGACUUGGGACCGGGAGAGGUGUGGGGUACUCUCAGGGUAGGGGUAAAAUCCUGUCAUCCUGAGAGGACCACCUGUUGCGAAGGCGCCACACUAGAACGGAUCC
rnacentral:rRNA from 1 species